CCCUUAGAUGUUCUGGGCCGCACACGCGCUACACUGGCAGGUUCAUCGAGCUUCAUGCCCUGAUCUGAGAAGAACGGGAAAUCUUUGAACACCUGCCGUGCUUGGGAUAGAUGUUUGCAAUUAUUCAUCUUCAACGAGGAUUGCCUUGUAAGCGCACGUCAUCAGCGUGCAUUGAAUACGACCCUGUAUUCUGUACACACCGCCCGUCGCUCCUACCGAUUGAAGUUUUCGGUGAAUUUACUGGAGAUCCCUUUUGAAGGUGGUUCGCCACCGGAAGAAGUAUUCAAAAGUAAAUGAAUCGAAUGCUUUAGAGGAAGGAGAAGUCGUAACA
rnacentral:rRNA from 1 species